GAAAAGCUGAGCCCAGGAACCAAAUUACUUGCUUUACCUCAUUGUGUAAGACAAGCGUCAAAAACAGCUUCAACCUAUCUUGAACAAGAGAACUUACCUCCAAAGGCUUAUCAUCUGUCUUCCACUUAUCCAACAAGCUGCUAUGGCCACUGCCUGUGCCGCACCUGGAACCACCGCCAGCCCCACUACUGCCUCCACUACCACUGGUUCUCCCACCCUGAUCAGCUGCUUGCUGCUGCCAUCUUAUCCGCUUCUGCCUGUUCUGAGUAAAUGUAUACACACCCUGGAAACCACCAUUCUACUUUCUGUGUCUAUGAAUUUGACUACUCUAGCUGGAUCCCGAGCUUUUUUUGUACACAUGUGCAAGUGCCCACGGGGUAGAAUCCUAAAAAUAGAAGAUGUAUGCAACAGUUCCCAGCACCAAACCCAGAUAUACAACCAUUCAGCUACCAAGAGCUACGCCUGAUAAAUUA
ensembl:lncRNA novel transcript, antisense to TMEM62